GACAGAGGUGCCAAGCGUUAGGCGGAAUCACUGGGCUUAAAGCGUGUGUAGGCGGAUUUGUAAGUACCUUGUGAAAUCCCACGGCUCAACCGUGGAACUGAUCGGUAUACUGCUUGUCUUGAGCCACUUAGGGGCUACCGGAACAAAUGGUGGAGCGGUGAAAUGCGUAGAUAUCAUUUGGAACGCCAAUGGUGAAAACAGGUAGCUGGGAGUGUGCUGACGCUGAGACACGAAAGCCAGGGGAGCGAACGGG
rnacentral:rRNA from 1 species